GAUGAAGAACGUAGCGAAAUGCGAUAAGUAAUGUGAAUUGCAGAAUUCAGUGAAUCAUCGAAUCUUUGAACGCACAUUGCGCCCGCCAGUAUUCUGGCGGGCAUGCCUGUUCGAGCGUCAUUACAACCCUCAGGCCCCCGGGCCUGGCGUUGGGGAUCGGCGGAGCCCCCCGUGGGCACACGCCGUCCCCCAAAUGCAGUGGCGGUCCCGCCGCAGCUUCCAUCGCGUAGUAGCUAACACCUCGCGACUGGAGAGCGGCGCGGCUACGCCGUAAAACACCCAACUCUUCUGAAGUUGACCUCGAAUCAGGUAGGAAUACCCGCUGAACUUAAGCAUAUCAAUAAGCGGAGGA
rnacentral:misc_RNA from 1 species